rnacentral:rRNA from 2 species
AGAGUUUGUCCUGGCUCAGGACGAACGCUGGCGGCGUGCCUAAUACAUGCAAGUCGAACGAACUCUGGUAUUGAUUGGUGCUUGCAUCAUGAUUUACAUUUGAGUGAGUGGCGAACUGGUGAGUAACACGUGGGAAACCUGCCCAGAAGCGGGGGAUAACACCUGGAAACAGAUGCUAAUACCGCAUAACAACUUGGACCGCAUGGUCCGAGCUUGAAAGAUGGCUUCGGCUAUCACUUUUGGAUGGUCCCGCGGCGUAUUAGCUAGAUGGUGGGGUAACGGCUCACCAUGGCAAUGAUACGUAGCCGACCUGAGAGGGUAAUCGGCCACAUUGGGACUGAGACACGGCCCAAACUCCUACGGGAGGCAGCAGUAGGGAAUCUUCCACAAUGGACGAAAGUCUGAUGGAGCAACGCCGCGUGAGUGAAGAAGGGUUUCGGCUCGUAAAACUCUGUUGUUAAAGAAGAACAUAUCUGAGAGUAACUGUUCAGGUAUUGACGGUAUUUAACCAGAAAGCCACGGCUAACUACGUGCCAGCAGCCGCGGUAAUACGUAGGUGGCAAGCGUUGUCCGGAUUUAUUGGGCGUAAAGCGAGCGCAGGCGGUUUUUUAAGUCUGAUGUGAAAGCCUUCGGCUCAACCGAAGAAGUGCAUCGGAAACUGGGAAACUUGAGUGCAGAAGAGGACAGUGGAACUCCAUGUGUAGCGGUGAAAUGCGUAGAUAUAUGGAAGAACACCAGUGGCGAAGGCGGCUGUCUGGUCUGUAACUGACGCUGAGGCUCGAAAGUAUGGGUAGCAAACAGGAUUAGAUACCCUGGUAGUCCAUACCGUAAACGAUGAAUGCUAAGUGUUGGAGGGUUUCCGCCCUUCAGUGCUGCAGCUAACGCAUUAAGCAUUCCGCCUGGGGAGUACGGCCGCAAGGCUGAAACUCAAAGGAAUUGACGGGGGCCCGCACAAGCGGUGGAGCAUGUGGUUUAAUUCGAAGCUACGCGAAGAACCUUACCAGGUCUUGACAUACUAUGCAAAUCUAAGAGAUUAGACGUUCCCUUCGGGGACAUGGAUACAGGUGGUGCAUGGUUGUCGUCAGCUCGUGUCGUGAGAUGUUGGGUUAAGUCCCGCAACGAGCGCAACCCUUAUUAUCAGUUGCCAGCAUUAAGUUGGGCACUCUGGUGAGACUGCCGGUGACAAACCGGAGGAAGGUGGGGAUGACGUCAAAUCAUCAUGCCCCUUAUGACCUGGGCUACACACGUGCUACAAUGGAUGGUACAACGAGUUGCGAACUCGCGAGAGUAAGCUAAUCUCUUAAAGCCAUUUCUCAGUUCGGAUUGUAGGCUGCAACUCGCCUACAUGAAGUCGGAAUCGCUAGUAAUCGCGGAUCAGCAUGCCGCGGUGAAUACGUUCCCGGGCCUUGUACACACCGCCCGUCACACCAUGAGAGUUUGUAACACCCAAAGUCGGUGGGGUAACCUUUUAGGAACCAGCCGCCUAAGGUGGGACAGAUGAUUAGGGUGAAGUCGUAACAAGGUAACC